rnacentral:rRNA from 1 species
CAGAAUUCCGCGAAUCAUCGAGUCUUUGAACGCAAGUUGCGCCCGAGGCUUGUCCGAGGGCAUUUCCGCUAGAGCGUCACC